UGAACGCAGGUAUAAAUGGGCACCUCAUCGACCCGUUCACGCUCUCGUGCGGUCGAAGACCCUGCCAUUAGGGCUGAGCUUUACACAUGGUCAGGUACAAAAUUCCGUGAAGAGUACGCACUUGUUUACACUUCUUCAAACCCUUCUCAAAUUUCAAUUUCUCAUUACAGAGUGAACCACGACAAGGUUCUUUUCACAUUGUAUGAUUGCUUUUGUGAGGGCAGUACAGUUAAGGUAGACAUUAAGUUCAUGGUAGACAGCCUUAUCGAUGGGCGUUACGUGAUUUACGUGAUUCGCUGACCAGACGGGGAUCCUAGAGCGUGGGGGAGAUUUAUAGAGCAAAUAGACCGGCCAAAUAUGUACCUAUUGAGAGUAAAAAUGGAAAUGAUGGCUAUAAGAGACGAGAACAGGUGUCUCAAGUUUGGUGCUGUUAAAUAUAGAGACUCUGGUACCAGAUACGAAGAAAGAAGGCGAUCAAGUACAGGCCACUAGCGGAGAGAGCGGAGAGGAAGAAGCUUUGAGACUAAACGGAGAACCCCAGCCGUCGUCCAGUUCGCGACCUUCACCUUUAUUUGUCUUCGUCGUCGUCGUCGUCGGUGUUCAUAGUCCCUGUCUCCUCCGCCGUUCAAGCAGAGAGAGCAGAGGGGGGGAAGCCUCGAGACUCUGAAAUGGAGAGCCCCAACCGUCAUCCGGUUCAUGUCCUUCGCCUUCAUUUGUCUUUGUCAUUGUUGGUGUUCAUAGUCCCUGUCUCCUCCACCAUUCAAGCAGUGUGUUGUUUCUUCUAUUCUUCUUGGCUGUGUUGUUGUGUUGGAUUGUGGUUUGAGUCUUUGUCUCUCUUCUUGUUUAAUGCUGCCGUGCGAUGAAGGCAAGUGAAUACUCUUGCCUCUAUUUCUCUGUUCAGAUUUAGUGAGUGUGUCUGUGUUGAAUCAUAAAUAUUUUUGCUCUAUUGUGGCCGUUGCAAAGUGUGUGUUAAAGCUGAAAUUUGUUUAUUCAUAUGCUUGGUGAACUUGCUUGAUUAUUGUUGAACUCAAGGUGUUGUAGAAAUGUCUAGGAAA